GGGCGGAUACCAAAGCGGUCAAAUGGGGCGGGCUGUAAACCCGCUGGCUAUCGCCUUCGGGGGUUCGAAUCCCUCUCCGCCCACCA
rnacentral:tRNA from 1 species